CUACUGACGUCGCGAGGCGUGAGGAGGGCCGUACAGAAGUCAGCAGAGGCCAUAGUAGGUGCGGUUUGACCGAAGGGC
rnacentral:ncRNA from 1 species